UACGGAGGGUGCGAGCGUUGUCCGGAAUCACUGGGCGUAAAGCGCGUGUAGGCGGUUGCCCAAGUCGGGUGUGAAAGCCUUGAGCUCAACUCAAGAAAUGCACUCGGUACUGGGUGACUAGAGGACCGGAGAGGAUAGUGGAAUUCCCAGUGUAGUGGUGAAAUACGUAGAGAUUGGGAAGAACACCAGUGGCGAAGGCGGCUAUCUGGACGGUUUCUGACGCUAAGACGCGAAAGCGUGGGGAGCAAACAGG
rnacentral:rRNA from 1 species